rnacentral:rRNA from 1 species
UACGUAGGGUGCGAGCGUUAAUCGGAAUUACUGGGCGUAAAGCGUGCGCAGGCGGUUUUGUAAGCCAGAUGUGAAAGCCCCGGGCUUAACCUGGGAAUGGCAUUUGGGACUGCAAGGCUGGAGUGUGGCAGAGGAGACUGGAAUUCCUGGUGUAGCAGUGAAAUGCGUAGAUAUCAGGAGGAAUACCGAUGGCGAAGGCAGGUCUCUGGGCUAACACUGACGCUCAUGCACGAAAGCGUGGGGAGCAAACAGG